AUACGGAGGGUGCAAGCGUUACUCGGAAUCACUGGGCGUAAAGCGCGCGCAGGCGGCUUGAUAAGUUGGAUGUGAAAGCCUACGGCUCAACCGUAGAACUGCAUCCAAAACUGUCAAGCUAGAGUCUGGGAGGGGAAGAUGGAAUUAGUUGUGUAGGGGUAAAAUCCGUAGAGAUAACUAGGAAUACCAAAAGCGAAGGCGAUCUUCUGGAACAGUACUGACGCUGAGGCGCGAAAGCGUGGGUAGCAAACAGGAUUAGAUACCCCAGUAGUCC
rnacentral:rRNA from 1 species